rnacentral:rRNA from 1 species
GAUGAACGCUGGCGGCGUGCUUAACACAUGCAAGUCGAACGGUGAACACGGAGCUUGCUCUGUGGGAUCAGUGGCGAACGGGUGAGUAACACGUGAGCAACCUGCCCCUGACUCUGGGAUAAGCGCUGGAAACGGCGUCUAAUACUGGAUACGAGACGUGAUCGCAUGGUCAACGUCUGGAAAGAAUUUCGGUUGGGGAUGGGCUCGCGGCCUAUCAGCUUGUUGGUGCGGGAAGGGCUCACCAGGGCGUCGACGGGUAGCCGGCCUGGGAGGGUGACCGGCCGGACUGGGACUGAGACACGGCCCAGACUCCUACGGGAGGCAGCAGUGGGGAAUAUUGCACAAUGGGCGCAAGCCUGAUGCAGCAACGCCGCGUGAGGGAUGACGGCCUUCGGGUUGUAAACCUCUUUUAGCAGGGAAGAAGCGAAAGUGACGGUACCUGCAGAAAAAGCGCCGGCUAACUACGUGCCAGCAGCCGCCGUAA